GGCUGAUCCAAGUGUAGUGCUAUUCACAAUUAAUUGAUGACAGUCAGUUAUAGACUUCUUUGUUCCUUCUGCCCUCCCACUGCUUCCCUUGAUUAGCCUUAA
ensembl:misc_RNA Y_RNA Y RNA